AGUGUUUUAGAUCUUUGCACAAGCUGUCUUGUCUUUUACCAUUGUUCUGACCAGGAGAAAAAUACCCUUUCUUCAAAGUCAGACUCAGAAUACAUAAAUCGAGAAUGAUAACACUGACUUUUUUUUUUUUUUUUUUUUUCCAAAGAGCAUUUUAUUAUCUACUGAAGAGAAACGCUGCCUGGAUGCUGGCUACCAUUAUGUAAACUACAGAUGUCUCACCAGUUCUUGUGUAACAGAGAGGGAGGGGUGGUGCCUGCUUGCCUCCUCCCCAAGAAGCUGCUUUGCACAGAGGAUAAGACUUUACUUAGCCUGUCCCACAGCAGCUGAGCCCUGGCAGUGCCCCAUCUCUGCUGCACACAGCACAGGUACUCUCUCUGUCCAGCAUAGGUAUGUUUCAGCUGCAGUAGUGAAUGAUCAGCAUUUUUGAAAAAAGGAUCAAGGACUUUGAAGAGAAGAAAUCAAGGCUCUGAAAACCAGAAACACACAGCUGGUGAUCACUAGUCAGCUUGGUUCAAAGGGCUGAAAUAUGAUAUUGCUGGAAAAAAGGGAAUUUAUCAUAAUAUUUACAGAAUAACCACAUUCAGAGAAGACACCAGUUUUUUUAACAGGACACAACAGCACAAUUGUGGUAUUUUCGGGGUCUUCAGGACAAAGGAGGAAUGAUUGGAUUUGACUCCUUGUUUUUAGAAGGCUAAUUUAUGAUUUUAUUAUAUUGUAUUAAAGAAUAGAGAAAGGAUACAGACGGAAGGUUGAAGGAUACUAAAGAAAAACUCAUGACUUUCUCUUCAGAGUCUGACACAGUUUGGCCCCUGAUUGGCCAAUAAGUAAAAACUAUUCACAUGCAACCAAUGAAACAAUCACCUACUACAUUCUAGAGCAGUAAAACACAGGAGAAGCAAAACAGAUAAUUAUUGCUUACAUUUUUCUCUGAGGCUUCUCUGCUUCCUAGGAGAAAAAUCCUGGUGAAGGGAUUUUUCCAGAAACUAUAAUAGUGACACACAAUUGUUCUGUUUUUUCCCUUCUUGAAUGUAGCAAAAUGAAUUAGUUAAAAAAAAAAACCCAAAACCAGAGUCAUAGAAGAAGAGUCAUACUUCCUAAAAAUCUAAGGAAGUUUUUCUAAGUGUCAUGAACUUCUAAGUAACAGUACAGGGUUCCAUUUAAUGAAAAAAUGUUAAUCUGACUUACUUACAUCAGGCCCCAAGUGGCUGAACCUCUGUCAUGGGAAGAUUGAUAUUGAUCACAAACUGCAGAAACUUCUCUCCUAAAGUCCAGCACAGAUCUACAGCUAAUGAUGCUGGCUCUUCCCUAAUGAGAGGCUUCUUGUAUGAAAUCAGUUUAUUAUGUCCUUGAGCCACACACAAAAAGCUUCCAAUAUAGGAAUGAAAUUUAAAAGCACAUGCAGAAAAGUAGCCAAGAACUUGUUGGAUUAUAGACUGGAUUGUCCAUUAUUUCUGAAAGAUUAUUUUGACUAUGUAUCAGAAUAAUAGGGCACUAAAAUGUGGGAGUGCUUCUUGUACUGCUAACAUGUUCCUGCCAUGUUAGGUGUGCACUUCACAGGUUCCUCACUUAUCAGUGAGGUUCCAAAACACUGAUCCCAAACUAGAAAAUUUCAAUUUUGGCAGAGUUUUUACUAGUUAUUUGCCAGCUUGUAAAGUCAUUGAGAUAUUAUUGCACUUCAUCCAUCAGCAAGCAUUGGGAAAGUACCCCAAACUGCAGAAAAAUUAGUUCAGACAGGUGAUGAGCCUGAGGACUGCUCCCAAUUUGUGCAGCAUUUGGUAGAAAAUGCAUGACAGUGGAUUUACAGAUUUCAAGGACUGCCACACUCAAAUUUUCAAAGAACCUGUAUUCAGCAACAUAAAUCACUAGUUUAUCUUCAAAGUCAUGAGCUAUGCAAAGUAACAGACUCACCAUUACUUUUACUCAUCUUUCUAGUUUAGAAGUGACAUUUAGAACUAAGCAGAUGAUUUCAGGAGCUCUGACUUUCAGCAAAAAUGGGAACAUUAUGAGACAUCAUGAGAAAAAACAAGACAGUUGGUUACUCAGGGUCAUGGUCUAUUCUUCUUAUUCAUAGCAUGUUUUCCCACCAGUAUAUAUCUUUUUCUCAAAAGUGGCUCCCAGUGCAUCUCAAAGCAGUUCCAAGCCCUUUAAUGUGUCUUUCAGCAGCAGCCUUUGCUAAAACUUCCACUGUAACCCUCCAGUUUUGUCAGCAGCUGCCCUGGCGAUGUGGACCUGGGAGGUAAUCCCUAUUCCAUGGUCUCUGGCCUGGGCAUAUUGUUGGCACUGAUCCUCCUCAUGCUCUCCAGAGGAACGAGGAACUUUGCUCACACCAUGCCUUGCUUCCCAGCCAGAUCAGAGAAGCACCACCAGAGAAAUGUGCCCCUGCUCCACAUUUGUACUUGGCUCAAAUGCUGGUGUAAUAUCUAAUUUAAACAGCAUGUAGCUAUUGACUUAAUGAAAAGUUCAAAUUCCUUUUCUCUCAUACCCUGCUGGGAGUCACUGCCUGGUGUCGUUUUGAGCUGCAGUGCUGGGCAGGGGAGGUCUCCUUACUCAGCCUGCUCCUCCUGCUCUUCCCUCAUCCCUGAAGGAAGCAAACCCACCUGUUGCACGAAAUGUGGUGAUUCUGCUGGGAAUUUGCACCAUCUGUGCUGAGCUGACACCACCCUGCAGGAAGAAACACUGCCUCUUUUGCAGCACUGAUGCUGGUGCACUUGGCACACACACCCGAAAAUGACUCACUGCAAAACCUUCAAAUGGGCAAAUUAUGUGUUGAACUUGGCUGUCACAGCUCUCAGCUCUGUGUUUCUUGCAGUGCUGAAGUGGUUUAAAGUGUUAUUAAUACAUUUGUCUUACCUGACUAGGGAUUUACUAGGCAGAGGUAAAUAAAAUGGGGUGAAGAACGUGCAGGAUAUCACUAGAAAGAACUCUGAAUCCCAGGAAAUGCCUGCUGCUGUCACUCCAGGAGAGAAGGAGGAUGGGCACAGACCAGUGAGGUGAUGUGGCUCUCCCCUCUGGUGCAUGUGCUCUGCUCCUCUCAGUGCCCCUCACUCAGGCCAGCCCCCAGCCUUCCUCCCCAUCCCCAGAGGGAUGGUGCUGGCAUCACUCCUCAGCCUCCCAGCUGUGAAAUCACCUGGAAAGCUCAUUCACUCGGCUCACUUUAUGAGUGUCAGGACCCUGCUAUUCAAAUAUUUACCACUACCUUGUGGUAUAAAACCAGUGGCACCUGCUGAGAAAUGCAUUUGAUCCAAGCUGUAUUCAUUAAACAAGACUGCUCAUUUUAUACCUUUGCCUCUUGCUACAGAAGUCAUCCCAGUAGCAUCAGCAAAGGAUUUUCUCCUCAGAAAAAUGUUGGUGCUUGCACACAUAAAAACAAUUGACUCUCAACAAAAACAAUUUAUUCUCACCUUGCUAGUAGCAAGGCUCAUUUAAAUGACAAUAUUUCUUAGCUCUUUAAAGGACAUUUCAUUAACUUUCACAACUAUAAUUGUAAACCCUGAUUUUUUUUUUUUUACAGAAGCAAAGGAGCUGGUUUUGGCUUUGACACAAGGAAAAGUUUAUAGGUUCCAAGGGUAGGUUUGAUAUGGGCAACCAAAAAGAUAAUUUGCAAAACUAAAUAUUAGAUCUCCAUGGGGUUUUUUUCAGUAUUGGAAAAGAUAUUUUUAAUUUAGCUAAGAACAAGAGAGAGGUGCAACAGAAGGGGGUUUAAGUUGAAUGCCAUGUAACUAUUUUGCCAUGUCUUGGCAAAACCUUACCUAUUGCAGUUAGCAAACUGUACAGCAAGAUGUUAUGGCUGUGCUGACAAGUUUUUUUGUAAUUAGAAUGGUUUUCCCUCUCUCAGUAACCUUACUUGAAUGUACUUACCUUUACAAUAAAAACUAGCAGCAAUUUA